GAUGGGGUGGCUGAAGUUUAGGUUAUAAAUUGUAAAUUUAUAUAUGAGGUUAACCCUCUCCUAUCA
rnacentral:tRNA from 1 species